CCUACGGGCGGCUGCAGUGAGGAAUAUUGGGCAAUGCCCGCAAGGGUGACCCAGCAACGCCGCGUGGAGGAUGAAGGCCGUAAGGUUGUAAACUCCUGUUAGAUGAGAAGAAUAGUACCGAUUGGAUCGGUAUUUGACUGUACCCUCAGAGAAAGCCCCGGCUAACUACGUGCCAGCAGCCGCGGUCAUACGUAGGGGGCAGGAUUUGUCCGGAUUUACUGGGUGUAAAGGGCGAGCAGGCGUGAUAGCCGAAAUCCUACAGCUUAACUGUAGAACUGCCUUUGAUACUGUUAUUCUUGAGUUCGGGAGAGAGAGACGGAAUUCCAGGUGUAGUGGUGAAAUACGUAGAUAUCUGGAAGAACACCAGUUGCGAAGGCGGUCUCUUGGUCCGAUACUGACGCUGAGGCGCGAAAGCGUGGGGAGCAAACAGGAUUAGAUACCCCAGUAGUC
rnacentral:rRNA from 1 species